CGGGCCAGAGCUUGAGAUAAGUUUUUUAUUUACACUAAAAGGAUAGUUGGUGAACAAUUUGGCUUGA
rnacentral:tRNA from 2 species